UGGGUCCUCAUGUGACGCGCCAAGCCUUCUUAGCGAGCUGUGGGAGGUAGAAAUCCUCUCCUAAGUGAUCCGGGCUCCCAGUUUCAGAUACAAUGUCCUUUUUACAUCUACCCAGUGCCUGGGCCAGGACUUGAUCAUAUGCCUGUUUGGAUUGAGGUCAAAGGGUAGAGAAGGCUGGGAGGCAGAGGAUGAAGAAUCACCCAAGUCCCAUAAACAUGACCGGAGACAGCCGUCAGAACUGGAAUAUGAUGGGAACAGCAGGAAGAAAACACAGAGGUGGGACAGCAUGAAAAUUAAAUGAAGAAGACGUUUACCAUGGCCAUGACAGGAGGAAUGUGAAGCCACAGAGAGCCAAGAGCUGAUGAGCUUGGGUCCAGUGGACAGAGAUCUUCAAACACAGGGCAUCGAGCGACUAUAAUGGCACAUGCAAGCAUGGGGAGUUGUGGUUCCAUCACUGCUGUGGGCUCAGGACCAAGCUGCGGCAUGCAGCACUAGGGCAACGUGGGAGCUGUGUGCUCGUGAUGGACUUAACAGCAUUUGGUAAUUAAAAAAAACCCACCUAGGUCAGGAGUUUGGACAAUCCGUGUGUGGUAAAUGUGGUACUCAGAGUGUCCUCUACAUUUAUGAAGCCACACUUUGGUACACUACAUCCUGCCAUCCCUAAACCACCUUCCCUGGGCUGAAUUAGGUCUUUCUGUAUAUCAGCAGGCUAAUAAUAACUUCCGUCGGUCUCUUGGGUGAGGUUCUGUAGUUUCCAGCAAAUGAUUUUCCUCCUCCCCACUCCCACACCCCUCACUGCACCAACCUGCCCUCCAGGACUGGGACUGAGUUUAGACAGGUGGUCUGGUGGGAUGCCUCACAGGCCCUGCCAGCUCUCCUUCCUGCCCAGAUUCCCUGAGAGUUAAGGCAGGGCUCAGGGAGGCAGGUCUGCAAGGAAUGUUGAACCAGCUUUUCCUUUGUGAGCUGGAUCAAAGCAGUUAUCUGUCUUAUUUCCAGAUGUACCUGACAUGACAAAGGGUUUUUAAAAAUCA